GGGGCUGAUUCUGGAUUCGACGGGAUUUGCGAAACCCAAGGUGCAUGCCGAGGGGCGGUUGGCCUCGUAAAAAGCCGUAAAAAAUAGUCGCAAACGACGAAAACUACGCUUUAGCAGCUUAAUAACCUGCUUAGAGCCCUCUCUCCCUAGCCUCCGCUCUUAGGACGGGGAUCAAGAGAGGUCAAACCCAAAAGAGAUCGCGUGGAAGCCCUGCCUGGGGUUGAAGCGUUAAAACUUAAUCAGGCUAGUUUGUUAGUGGCGUGUCCGUCCGCAGCUGGCAAGCGAAUGUAAAGACUGACUAAGCAUGUAGUACCGAGGACGUAGGAAUUUCGGACGCGGGUUCAACUCCCGCCAGCUCCACCA
rnacentral:tmRNA from 1 species